rnacentral:rRNA from 1 species
AUUGAACGCUGGCGGGAUGCUUUACACAUGCAAGUCGAACGGCAGCACGGGUGCUUGCACCUGGUGGCGAGUGGCGAACGGGUGAGUAAGACAUCGGAACGUACCCAGUCGUGGGGGAUAACGUAGCGAAAGUUACGCUAAUACCGCAUACGCACUGAGGGAGAAAGCGGGGGACCGUAAGGCUUCGGGCUAUUGGCGCGGCCGAGGGCGGAUUAGUUAGUUGGUGGGGUAGAGGCCUAACAAGGCAACGAUCCGUAGCGGGUCUGAGAGGACGGCCCGCCACACUGGAACUGAGACACGGUCCAGACUCCUACGGGAGGCAGCAGUGGGGAAUUUUGGACAAUGGGCGAAAGCCUGAUCCAGCCAUUCCGCGUGAGUGAAGAAGGCCUUCGGGUUGUAAAGCUCUUUCGGCAGGGAAGAAACGGCUUGGGAUAAUACCCCGGGCUAAUGACGGUACCUGAAGAAGAAGCACCGGCUAACUACGUGCCAGCCGCCGCCGUAA